CGGCGCCCAGCUUCCUGCUCCGCCCCUCGCUCCCGCCAGCCCGCCCGGCACGGGGAGUCCGGUCUUGCAGCCCCUGUCAAAGCCGAGGAGGAGGCGGCGCCAGGUCUGAAGCUCUCCAGAUUUUUGUCUCUAACUUUUUGCUGUGGCAUUGGGUACCCUGGAAAAUCACCACCCCUCCUGCUACUCAGUGCAGACUUGCUGGCACCUCUCCAGCAGGUGGGCCCAGAAGUACUCCAGGGCAGGUGAAUUCUGCUGUCGAGGAUUAGCAAGGACUUGGGAGCUGCCUGCAUGGAAUGUAGCUUUCUUUGGAGGGAAAAUAUCAUUUUGGAUUAACUGGCAAAUGGCUUUAAAAGUUGUUCCCUCUGUGGUAAAGGCAUUUGCUGAGAUUAUUGCAGUAAGACAAAGUCUCAUUCCCCUGCUUUUGGAAAUGGCAGGCAUUCAGUACAGCUGCGUACAAUGAACAGAGCUUGUAAAAUACAAAAUCCGAUCACCUCCAGAUUUCUUUACCUGGUUUUUUUUUUUCUUUGAAACUACCUAGGAAUUAAAUACCCAAACUUAUUGCAUAAUAAGGUUGUGAGA
rnacentral:lncRNA from 1 species